CAAGUCGAACGAGGAUCUUCGGAUUCUAGUGGCGGACGGGUGAGUAACGCGUGAGAAUCUGCCUUCAGGUCUGGGAUAACANCUGGAAACGGUUGCUAAUACCGGAUGAGCCGAGAGGUAAAAGCUUUAGUGCCUGAAGAUGAGCUCGCGUCUGAUUAGCUAGUUGGUGGGGUAAGAGCCUACCAAGGCRGYGAUCRGUAGYUGGUCUGAGAGGAUGAKCAGCCCACACUGGGAYUGAGACACGGCCCAGAYUCYUACGGGAGGCAGCAGUGGGGAAUUUUCCGCAAUGGGCGAAAGCCUGACGGAGCAAYRCCGCGUGAGGGAGGAAKGYCUKUGGGAUUGUAAACCUCUUUUYUMARGGAAGAAGAWMGUGACGGUACUUUAAGAAUCAGCAUCGGCUAACUCCGUGCCAGCAGCCGCGGUAAUACGGAGGAUGCAAGCGUUAUCCGGAAUCAUUGGGCGUAAAGCGUCCGCAGGUGGCAGUUCAAGUCUGCUGUUAAAGACAGAAGCUCAACUUCUGAACAGCAGUGGAAACUGGACAGCUAGAGUACGGUAGGGGUUGAGGGAAUUCCCAGUGUAGCGGUGAAAUGCGUAGAUAUUGGGAAGAACACCAGUGGCGAAGGCGCUCAACUGGACCGUAACUGACACUCAGGGACGAAAGCUAGGGUAGCGAAAGGGAUUAGAUACCCCUGUAGUCUUA
rnacentral:rRNA from 1 species